GGGUCGUGAGAAAAUACGCAGGAAGAGAUACCCCGUGGACAUGUUUCCCUUGGAAAGUGGAGGGAACCCUCUGAGCCGUGAUUCCGCCUGAAUUAAGCAGUGGCGGGCACUGGCCUGGCAGGCGGCUUCUACUGCCUUGGAUUUGCACCUCUAAGGGGUCACAGGGGCCACCCCCGAAACAAGACAAAGUGUGAUCAUGGACAGGCCCUCGGGGGGCCGGAAGAAGGAACGGCUCCAGUGAUGAAAGCUGAACGCCAGCUCUCUCCCCAUCGUUCUCCCGGACCAGGAGAGGGCUGCUCGGCAGGGCUAGGUUUAAAAACCUUCCAUGCAACUUACGAAGGCAUCCACAGUGACUUCUGCUGCUGUGGUACGUUCUGCCCUCCCCUCCUCCCCGCCCCAUCCUGUUCUCGGCUACAAGUUAUUUAUAUGUACAGUGUCAUCUGAACGUGCACGGGCCUAUCCCAGGACAUCACACACAAAGAGGCGGCGGUGAACCCAAGCCGCCGGGCCGGCCUGUGGCUCAGUGUGUGUUUCAGAAGUCCCGGCCCCAGGCAGCUCUCCUGAACAGAGCCACUGGAACUCAGGAGGGUCAGGACCACAGCCCAAACAACUGCGACCGAAAACACCCUACAGGGCUUGAGAACUAAAAAAUAAGGAGGGAUCUGGGCAGCCGAGCUGCCUCCUAAAGAAGCCACGUCAUAGAGAAAACUGCUUGCUCUAUCCAUGAGACGGAGGCGGCCGGGGUGUCCUGCCAGCAGACACGGGUCUGUCCAUCACCGGCCACCACGCUGCCUCUGUCCUUCACUCCCAUUUAAGGGAAAACGAUAUCUCUUCAUCUUUCUGCCCUGGACAUUGGAAAUCAGCGGUGAGAACAGUGCUCUUGCUACAAAAUGCUCAGGUUCUAGAAUGCUCCCAUCUUUCCUUCCAUUCCACAUGGAGUUUAUCCAAAGCACAAAGGCCAGUCACGGCACUGACAUCCGUGGUGCCCGCUCACCGGGGAGUGGGAAGCACAAGCCUGUCCUCAGAGGACCGUGACUGUGAGCCCGCAGCUGCUUGUGGGUGGGGCCAGCCCGCAGCUCCUCCUGGAGGCCUCGGGCUUCUUGCUGCUGCAUUUCUGUGACAUGUGGAGGGAGGAUCGUUUUGACACCUGCCUGGGAAGUUUCAAAGGAGAUGGCCUCUGGGCAGGGGUUUUAAACUGAAGGGCACCACACAGAUCCAGAUGUGAACUGUGGCUGUUGUUUGCAAUUGAAGCAGAGAUGCAGAGGAUGGAACAGGAGUGCUGGCCAUGCUGCUCUAUGGCCUUGGCCCAGCCAAGACCUGCAGUCAAUGGGGCUACGGGACCCCCGCUACACAGGGACCUGGGAACCACCUUUGCCGCGGUUGACCGCUGGGCCCGCCAUGCACCGCCCACACCUGGCUGUGCCUGGAGACUGAGAGCAGGGGGUGACGGUGGGCCUGGAAGAGUCUCUCCCUUUUGCAAACGCCAGCCACAGAGGUUUAUUUUUCUCCCUGAGAGAAGGAAGAGUGAAGGCUGAGACUGAGACAGAAGGACAGAAGGAGAAGACUUAGAAGCCAGUGAGCCCGGAACCACGAGACGCGCUCUGAGGACACGGGGCCUCGGGGAAACCGGGCACGGGCAGGGGUUGGUCUUGGCUUCCCCGCAACAUUGCCGCGAGCUCGGGUGCCGUCUCCACUCGCAGGCUGGCCUGUCCUCUGCAGCCACGAGCUCAGGCACCGUCUCCGUUCAUAGGCCAGCCUGUUCUCUGCAGCCUGAGGUCCCUGUGGUGCCAACAUCCAGAUGCUGAGAUAAUUCUGCCAGGGUGUUGGCUGAUCGGUGAUUGGUGGUUGGCUGUUCCGUGAGUUCUGCAUUGAUCUUGCUGGCUGAGCGUCCAAUGCGGAGGGGCAGGUGCUGUUAGGGUCUCCACUCCCAUCCCUCUCCCCAGGACUCAUCACCCACUGCAACCGUAAGCUGCUAGGGGCUCACAGCCGUGAGUCUUUGGGACGGGUGGUCCCACCUGGCAUGUAGCUCAGGCUCCUAGCCCCAGGACCCUGCCGCUGCUCCCCUCCCGCCCACAUCUUGGCUUAGCCGUCUUCCCUGGCUGCCAGCCCCUUCCCCUGGUCUUAGUUGGCUUGAGCCACUAAACUGAAAUAGCACACCCUGAGGCCUUCAACAGCAGACCUGAUUUCUCACCAUCUGGAGGCUGGAGGUCCAGGAUCCAGGCCCCCAAGGCUGCUUUCUCCCCCACUCCCCCACCCACCUUCCAGGACACGCAGACUCCACCCUCUUGCUGCCCUGUCUCAGGGCUGUCCCUCUGGGCAAGCAGGCCCCUGGCAUCCCCGUGUGUCUUCUCCUCCUGUUCUUAUAAGGACACCAGUCAUACUGGAUCUGGGCCCACCCUAGUGACCUCAUUUACCUUAAUCACCUCUGAAAGACCUUGUCUCAAAAACAGCCACAUUCUGGGGCACUGAGGGUUAGGGCUUUAACAUGGGAAUUUGAGGGAUGCAAUUCACCCCAUAAAACCCAGACCAUUCCCCCAGUAAAUCACUUUCACAAGAGCUCUUCUCUCAGGCUUUGCUUCUGGGGGAUCCCCCUUGAGAUGGAUCCAUCUAGCUUCCUGCUUCUCAAAGAACAGAGGGGAGAGCUCUGGUGCGAAGGGAACGGGUGGCCUCGGGGACCUGCGGAUAAGCUGCUGGCACUGCCAGGGGACAGGCUGAGCUGAAAGCCAGGAGGAGGGCGGCGAGGCCCGGGGCCGGACCUCAUUCUUCUGAGUGUUAUAAAAUCUGGCUUUGCUCAGAAACUGCCCCAUGUGUGCUUUUGUUAAUUGAAGUGCAAAAUUUUCUCCAAGUAAUAACUGGAGUCGUUUAACAAUACAAAUAAUUUGCACCUUAAAAAAAAAAAAAAAAAA
rnacentral:lncRNA from 1 species